rnacentral:lncRNA from 1 species
GGGAACCAUCAUGUGCAUCCCAGAGCCACGAGUGAGUGUCUCUCAUCGGCAUCAGCCAGGAGGAAGGCAGAGCAAACUUGUCUUCUUUGAUCACCAGGCUGGGCUGGUUGCAGUCUGCAUCCAGGCUCUGGUGCUGUAACCAGAUACAGACCUGAGGCCAUGCCAGAAUGAAGAGAAAAACAUCUGGCCAAUCUCAUCAAUCCAAUCAAAGCAUCCUUUCAUACUGGUC